UUUCCCUCGCGGCUGCGUUAAAGACGCCCGCCGAGCUUUGCGCUUUCCGUUGCUCUUGGCCCGUUACCGACUCCAAGUAUUUGGUCUAUCACUUUACGUGUGUUAAGUUUUCCUCUUCGGGGCAACAUCAUCUCCAAAACUCGUAUUCCCAGGCAGAAAGAGAGCAAGCUCCGCUCAUCUCGAUGGGCCCCUGACUUCCACACCUGCGCACAGAAAAUAAAAAUGGAAAGAUAUCAUUACAUCAGAAACUACAGUGCCCAUCAAAAGAAUUUGCAAUCCUACCCAUCCAAAAUACGGUUAAGGCCCACCCCGCUCCGCAACCCCGUCCACCUCCCCGCACCCUUCAGCUGCAAGAUCCGCAACCGUCUUCCCGUGACCGUCUGCUAAACGCACCACCCUGCAACGACAGGCAAGUGCCACGUGCCAGGGGAGCGCUCCCCAGGAACGCCACUCCCAGGGGCCUGAAAACCACCCCGCCUGUGAAAAAACCCCGGCCCGGGCCCGACUCCUGUCCAAACGCUGGCGAUGAACAUCACCUCGCAGAGCGGCUGGGACCGGGGAGGGG